rnacentral:rRNA from 1 species
ACUCAAAGGAAUUGACGGGGGCCCGCACAAGCGGUGGAGUAUGUGGUUUAAUUCGACGCAACGCGAAGAACCUUACCAAGGUUUGACAUCCCUCUGAUCGGUGCAGAGAUGUGCCUUCCCUUCGGGGCAGAGGAGACAGGUGGUGCAUGGUUGUCGUCAGCUCGUGUCGUGAGAUGUUGGGUUAAGUCCCGCAACGAGCGCAACCCUUAUGUUUAGUAGCCAUCGGGUAAAGCCGGGCACACUAGAGAGACUGCCGUGGAUAACACGGAGGAAGGCGGGGAUGACGUCAAAUCAUCAUGCCCCUUAUAUCUUGGGCUACACACGUACUACAAUGGCUCAUACAACGUGAAGCGAAGCAGUGAUGCGGAGCAAAACACCAAAAAGAGCCUCAGUUCGGAUUGCAGGCUGCAACUCGCCUGCAUGAAGUUGGAAUCGCUAGUAAUCGCGAAUCAGCAUGUCGCGGUGAAUACGUUCCCGGGCCUUGUACACACCGCCCGU